ensembl:lncRNA novel transcript, antisense to IFI6
GGAAUCCGUUUCCUCUCCGCAUCAGUGGCAGAGAUGUCCCUGCCCCAACCGACAGGGUCUCACUGUGUCACCAAGGCUGGCUCAAUCACGGCUCACUGCAGCCUCGACCUCCUGUGUUCAAGCGAUCCUCCUGCCUCAGCCUCCCGAGUAGCUGGGACUAUAGGGGUGCACCACCAUGCCCAGGUUUUGGCCAGCUUCUUUACUGCAUCCUGUUUUACCAGUGGGAUCAGUGGGGUCUUUGUGACCCGUAUCUUGUAUUGACCUCCUCUCUCAUCCUGUGACUAAGAAUGCCAAACCUCGUGGGAAAGCAGCCCAGCAGGUCCCACCCUUAUUUCAUCUAGCCCCUGUUCAAGAUGGAAUUGCUCUUCUUGGAACACCUCUGACAUAUUUCCCCCCUCCCUUUUACGAGGGGACUCUUAAGCCUAAGGGUUGUAGAGGGUUGUAGAUCUAUCCUCUGUAACGUCUUCAGGCUGAAUAGGGGAGAUAAUAUUUUUGCCUAAUUAUUAGGGUCUUUUGUAUUCAGGGUAGAGAAGAGCUCAGUCAGUUAUGGUGAAGGCCAUUCAUAACUCUUCCAGAUAUCACCUUCUGUUCUGACAAAAGGUGCUAUGUGAAAGAUAAUAAAUGUUCAAUUUAAGAAAA